UGGAGGCGAUCUCGGAGCGCAGAGAACAGUGCAUUCAGGGAGCAGUGAGAGGUGGAAGGGGAAGCCAGGCCCGCAGGGAAGAAAGAGCAAAUGCUGGACCCAGGUCCCUAACAAAGGAGCAUGGCUACUGCCUGCAGCUGCUCCCCGGCUGCUUUCUGCAGAGCCUGCAGGCCUCCGCUCCUCCUGCAGUCUGUUACUAGUCACUUGGUGAGUGGCCUCAGUGUCCCAGUGAUCCAGGAGGACACAGGGAGAGGCUGUUCUCAAAACUGGGGGUGGGGGCGGCACGGGGUUGGGGGGGGAAGACUUCAAAAUCGGUCUCUGCCCCUUAAGUGUCCCAGCCCAGCCCCCACCCAGGGGACCCACAGUGCUGACUCCCUCCAGCAAGGCAGGCCCUCCAGGCCACAGCAUCCACGGAUGGGCCUGUCUCAUCAACUGGCUGAUGAAGGUUGUGAGGCUGCACCUCAGGUCUGUGGAAAGAGGUCUCUGCAUCAAUUACUGAUGCCCUGUCAGGGCUACAGGUUACUGCCACAUAUUUGCCAUCCCUCUUGCCUUUCACAGACAGGAAACCAGAGGUAUGAAUGCAUUGAUGGAUCAGUGGUGGGCCUGGGACUAGACCCCCAGCCUUCGCGGUCAGAGUCAAUAUUCCUCCGCUGCAGAGCACAGGCUGAGGAGGGAAGAAAGUGGAGCCACUGCACAAUUUCAUCUCCUGUUCCCCUAGCACCGCAGGUGGCCAGGGUGACAGGCAACCGCAGCGGGACCAAGAGACACAAUGAGGUGUGACGGACAGGGCAGAAGGGGCCUGGCCUGAGCCUUGUUUGUGAGGUGGGAUGAUCAUGGUACCCACAGGGGACAUGGGUCAGGGUGCUGGGCGUUCAGUACAUAACUGUUCACUGGGGCUGGCAUGGUGUCUAAAGGACCCUCUGAGUAGCCAAUAGCGGAGGAGAGUUUUGUGACUUAGGGUAUUGGUCUGAGUUGUGGAGGCCUCUCUCUGUCCACCAUGGGUUAAGAAUGGUCAAGGGUGGCCUCCAGGAGCUGAGAGCAGUCCCACCUAGGGAUCCUGCCUCCUUGCUCCAAUCAUC
rnacentral:lncRNA from 1 species